UGCCUAGUACGGCGAGUGAGCGGCACAGCUCAAAUUUGAAAUCUGGAUUCCUUUACUGGGUCCCGAGUUGUAAUUUGUAGAGGGUGCUUUGGCGUUGGCGGCGGUCUAAGUUCCUUGGAACAGGACGUCACAGAGGGUGAGAAUCCCGUACGUGGUCGCACUGCCUUCGCCGUGUAAAGCCCCUUCGACGAGUCGAGUUGUUUGGGAAUGCAGCUCUAAAUGGGAGGUAAAUUUCUUCUAAAGCUAAAUACUGGCCAGAGACCGAUAGCGCACAAGUAGAGUGAUCGAAAGAUGAAAAGCACUUUGGAAAGAGAGUCAAAUAGCACGUGAAAUUGUUGAAAGGGAAGCGCUUGCAGCCAGACUUGCCUGCGGUUGCUCAGCCGGGCUCCGUGCCCGGUGCACUCUUCCGCGGGCAGGCCAGCAUCAGUUUGGGCGGCUGGAGAAUGGCCUCUGUCAUGUACUGCCCUUCGGGGUAGCCUUAUAGGGGAGUCGUAAUGCAGUCAGCCUGGACUGAGGUCCGCGCUUCGGCGAGGAUGCUGGCGUAAUGGCCGUAAGCGGCCCGUCUU
rnacentral:rRNA from 1 species